AGUGAACGCUGGCGGUAGGCCUAACACAUGCAAGUCGAACGGCAGCACAGUAAGAGCUUGCUCUUACGGGUGGCGAGUGGCGGGCGGGUGAGGAAUACAUCGGAAUCUACUUUUUCGUGGGGGAUAACGUAGGGAAACUUACGCUAAUACCGCAUACGACCUACGGGUGAAAGCAGGGGAUCUUCGGACCUUGCGCGAUUGAAUGAGCCGAUGUCGGAUUAGCUAGUUGGCGGGGUAAAGGCCCACCAAGGCGACGAUCCGUAGCUGGUCUGAGAGGAUGAUCAGCCACACUGGAACUGAGACACGGUCCAGACUCCUACGGGAGGCAGCAGUGGGGAAUAUUGGACAAUGGGCGCAAGCCUGAUCCAGCCAUACCGCGUGGGUGAAGAAGGCCUUCGGGUUGUAAAGCACUUUUGUUGGGAAAGAAAAGCAGCAGGUUAAUACCCCGCUGUUCUGACGGUACCCAAAGAAUAAGCACCGGCUAACUUCGUG
rnacentral:rRNA from 1 species